AGAGUUUGAUCCUGGCUCAGAGCGAACGCUGGCGGCGUGCUUAACACAUGCAAGUCGAACGUGAAAGGGAGCAAUCCUGAGUAAAGUGGCGUACGGGUGAGUAACGCGUAGGUAAUCUACCUCAAAGUUUGGAAUAACCUGCCGAAAGGCGGGCUAAUACUGGAUAGAGCGAUGAAGUCUGUGGAGGACUUUUCGGGAAAGGGAGCUCGCAAGAGCCUUCGCUUUGAGAUGAGCCUGCGUCCCAUUAGCUAGUUGGUAGGGUAACGGCCUACCAAGGCAAUGAUGGGUAGCUGGUCUGAGAGGAUGAUCAGCCACACUGGAACUGAAACACGGUCCAGACUCCUACGGGAGGCAGCAGUGGGGAAUCUUGCGCAAUGGACGAAAGUCUGACGCAGCCACGCCGCGUGAGUGAAGAAGGCCUUCGGGUUGUAAAGCUCUGUCGGGCGGGACGAAAAUAUUUUAGGUGAAUAGCCUAGAGUACUGACGGUACCGCCAAAGGAAGCACCGGCUAACUUCGUGCCAGCAGCCGCGGUAAUACGAAGGGUGCGAGCGUUGCUCGGAAUUAUUGGGCGUAAAGGGUAGGUAGGUGGUCUUGUUUGUCUGGGGUGAAAUCCUUGGGCUUAACCUAAGAAGUGCCUCAGAAACGGCAAGACUAGAGUCCUGGAGAGGGUCGUGGAAUUCCCGGUGUAGCGGUGAAAUGCGUAGAGAUCGGGAGGAACACCAGAGGCGAAGGCGGCGACCUGGACAGGAACUGACACUCAACUACGAAAGCGUGGGUAGCAAACAGGAUUAGAUACCCUGGUAGUCCACGCCGUAAACGAUGGAUACUAGACUUGGUGGGUCUUGACCCCUGCCGAGUCGGAGCUAACGCGAUAAGUAUCCCGCCUGGGAAGUACGGUCGCAAGACUAAAACUCAAAGGAAUUGACGGGGGCCCGCACAAGCGGUGGAUCAUGUGGUUUAAUUCGAAGCAACGCGAAGAACCUUA
rnacentral:rRNA from 1 species